rnacentral:lncRNA from 1 species
CUCAGGUCCUCUUGCUCACCCAUCAGCUGUGUAGUGUCUGAAGUGAUUAAGGAGCUUGGGGAGAGCCCUGAAUGGGAAGAAAUGGGUUCCAUGUGCAGCAAGCCAGGAGAGAUUUAGGCAACGAGAACCUCCAGUUCUGUCUUAGGGUUCCCAGCUUUCUCCUUGUCCUGAGGGAGCCGCUGAGCCUGUGGGAGAUGAGGGGUGCCCAUUCCCCAGUGCUUCUCACCCUCCCCCACCUGCCCUCCUGGGGUACCUUUGUCUGCCACUUGCAUCCUAUUGGAAGCUGUCCCCAAGUGCGUGUUAGGCAGGUGGCAGGUGCUGGAGCAGAGUGCACCACCCUCCGGCGAUCACUGUGAGUUGGGGUAAGAGUGGGGUGUUCCUGCCAGCCCCAGGAGAGGGGAAAGCAAGCCCCCGUCCACCCUUGUGGGUCUCUGCUCCUGGAAAAGGUGCUCUAGCAGGCUCAUCUGUGUGAGUCACUGUCUUCCAUGUGGGCCCCUGCCCAUCUGAGCAGCAGAGUUCAUCCCAUACCCUGCAGGGAGUCCAGCGCCACCAUGAUGUCCCUCUCUUCCCUCCUUGAGGCUGGCUG